AUUUAAAUAGUUUAAGAAAAAAAAUUUUGAUUUGUGGUGUCAAAGAUGUAGAUUAUACUUUAAAUU
rnacentral:tRNA from 1 species